CUAAUCAUAACAUAUAAAGUAAUCGAGUUCAUGGUUUCAUACAGGCUAAUUUCUGUAUUGAUGACCGUCACACCACACCAAGAUGCUGUCGGUAGAAGAUGGGUGAUGACGGUCUUUGGCAUUUUGAUGGCCAACGGCAACGCAAAGUCCUACGCAGCCCGGAAGAAGUGAAGUGUGUGCUCAAACAAUACCAAAAGAUCUUUCCUGUGCUCCAAGCACUUCACAGAGGACUGCUUUGAUCACUCAGGAGGGAGUGUAUCUCUCAAAUCCGAUGCAGUCGCCACUGUGGCAAUGGCAUCAGACAUUCAAC
ensembl:lncRNA